rnacentral:tRNA from 1 species
AUUUAUUUAGUAUAAUUAAGUACAGGAAGUUUCCAUCUUCAAAGCCCUUUAAGAAAUAAAUA